UAAGACUAAUACAAUGGACUCUGGUGACUUGGGGGGAAGGGUGAAAGGGGGUGAGAGAGAGAAGACUACACAUUGAAUGCAGUGUACACUUCUUAGGUAAUGGGUGCACCAAAAUCUCAGAAAUCACCACUAAAUAACUUACCCAUGUAACCAAACACGACGUCCCCCAAAAACCUAUUGAAAUAACAUUUAAUAGGUUAAAAAAAUACAAGUGGAAAUGUUUAACAGACAGUUGAUUAAACAGCUCAGAAACAACCCGUGGGCAAGUGAUACUUUUAUUCAAAUGAAUAAAAGUAAUUGGGAGUGGACUGGGGCACCCAUGUUAUAUAGAGAAGAGCCCCCAAUUACACCAUUUCAAGGAGGCUGAUUAAAGAGCAGCUAAAAAGAAGAAAAAUUAGGAAACGGUAGUGGCCAAGAAUCCAAUGGAGGGGUUUUUUAAAAGAAGUGGACAACAAUGUCAUACUGAAGAGAGGUCAAAUACAAAUGACUUCUAGCAAUAUGGAGUUCACUGACUUCAAUAGGGAAACUUUCAGUGAAAUGAGGGUAGAAUCCAGAUUACAACUGGCUGAGGAGUGAUUGAAACCUAAAUACAGAGAAGAGGUAAGGCUUGGCUACAAAGAAGAAAAAGAGAACAGGAAACAGAGACAGGUUUAAGGGAAAAUAUGUAGUUGAGCACUCCUAUUUAAUACAGAGCUUGAAAUUAUAUGCUAAAUGAGAGAUACUGAAGAUAAAGGGCUGAUUGAUAGAACAAGGUCUCUAAGGAGUUACAAUGGGAUAGGAUUCACUGAUGUGCUCAUUCACCUAUACUCUCAUAGUGUUGACCAGAGGACAGACACCUCUUCUGGGACAGAUGAGGAUGAUGAUAUAGAUAACUAAGGAAGAAGCUUAGAAGCUCUCCUAUUAGGUUCAAUUUACCCGUUAGGAGGGUAGGCUUCUGCUGAGCCAGAGUGACAGGCCAGAGUCUAUGCUAAAUGGGGAAGCGGUAAAGCCAGAGUAAACUGACAGAGGGGGGGGGGAAAAGGUUGGUUAAGGAAUUGGAGGCUUCUUGAGGUCAAAGAGUAAGUAUACUGAGAGGAAGAGAUUAAAGGAAAAGACAUUAAAAUCAUAGAAUAAAUUAGGCUGUACAUUUCAGAAAAUAAAUUUCUGAUGAGUCCGAAGUGUGGACUUAAAAUUGGUUUGCUAAAUGGAGUAAAAAAUGACUAGUGGAGAUGGAGGUCCAGAAAUUGUUAAGGUCAUCCAUGACUAAUGAAAUUGCCCACAAUGAUGGCAGCACCAGGGAAAGAGAUGCCCAUCAUCGAAGUCCCCUCCAUAAAUGACGAGUAGUAACCAGAGAUGAGUGAGGAGGAUAGAUGGUGCAGCUCAACAGCAGAAGCCUCAAAAUAGAAGAACAAUGGUGUAGCAAUGGCAAUCAAGAAUACAGGGGCAACAGACCCUGUAAUCCAUCCAUUUACUAGCAGUAAAGUGAGAAAAUGAACACUCUCCACUUCAAAUAGUCCUAAGGUAAGUAUGGCUGAGGGAGAGUCAAUUUCCAGUUAAUGAAAAACCAGAAAAGCAUAUUUACAAAGGAAUAGGGAAUGAAAAUCUCCAUAAUGCGAAGAACUGGCAAGGACAGCAGCAAAGGUAAAAUGAAUUGAGGAAAGUAGGUAACAAUUUGAGGCCUGGUGACUGGAUGGGCUUCUGUUUCAGAUGGCAGCAAUGCAUUAUAGGGAUGAGAAGCAAAGUGAAUCAAACCAGUCUCUCAAUGUUUCAACUGAACUCUGAAACGAGAUGUUUCUAUGACAAAACCAGUCCUGGGAAGUGACCAAGACGAGAUGAGUUUGAAUUGUUAUUCAAGGUUCCAAAGAGAACAUCAGUGAUUUGCUGUUUUGCGUUGUCAAUGAAGUUUAGCCCCAAUUAGAGAGGAUGGUAGGGCUAGGUCAGAAAGACUAAAGCUGCCAGUGCCCAGGUGGCCUACUGGUCUCAACAGAGCAGCAUAAUUUGCAGAGGGAAGGGGCCCAUAGAUGACUGAACGUCUAGGCUAGGUUUGUCAAAAUGUGUCUAACACUCUCACCUUACCUCCAUGGAGUUCAGCAUUGAAUGGAAUAGAGAUGCCGACUUGCUAGCCCCAGGGCAUAAGUGAAAGUGCUUGAAAAUGCUGCAAAAUUCAGACCCCAGCAGAGGGAAGUCUAUAGGCGAGUUCCAAUACAUGUUAGUGACCAAUACUUAGAUUUUUCCAAGAGAUAGUCAGUACAGACACUGUAUGUUCUGUCCUCAGGAGUGCCGAAUCAAUUUUUCGCUCAUUAAAUGGGGAUUUGGACUAUACAGCCUCUAUUGUCGUCUUUAAAUUCUGUAACCUUUUUAGGAAGAAACAUCCUUAGAAAUCAUCUAUGUCUUACCCUGUCAAGGGGAGGGUUGUAACUUUUUUCUUUGUCACUAACUUGCAUGUGGUAGGAAGCCAAGGUCCACAACAGAUAAGCAACUAACCUAAGGGGCCAAACAUAGAAGCUAAAACCCCAAUUCUCUUAUUCCUAAAUCCAGUGUUCUUUACGGGACGUAAUUCUAAGAUUCUCAUCGGGGCUUCUGCAAACCUUUUUUGAAACUAAAGGACAUUCUGAUUUCAUCCUACGUCCCUGACAACUUCAAAAGGGCUCCUCAAUACAAGGUGGGCCACGGAGCCAUUUCUAAAGCUUCUUCCUGUGGUGCCUUUUCCCCCUCCCCACUGACAAGAUACACAACCUAGCUCCAGAGAUCAGGCUAGGGAAAAGCUUUGCCUAAUAAAGAAAUUUCAUGGAACUUUAAGGAAAUAUUAAAUCAAGUCUUUCUUCCUACCAAAGUAGAAAUACACUUUACAGAACAUACAAGUGAGAAGGGGUGAAGAGAGUGAAAUUCCAAAAUCACUCUAGUUUAUUCACAUAAUAUAGUA
rnacentral:lncRNA from 10 species